UAGGGAAUAUUGGGCAAUGGGUGAGAGCCUGACCCAGCCAUGCCGCGUGCCGGAAGACGGCCCUCUGGGUUGUAAACGGCUUUUCUAUCGGAACAAAAGGCCCUUGCGAGGGAGAUUGCGUGUACGGUAGGAAUAAGCACCGGCUAACUCCGUGCCAGCAGCCGCGGUAAUACGGAGGGUGCCAGCGUUGUCCGGAUUUAUUGGGUUUAAAGGGUACGUAGGCGGACUGUUAAGUCCGAGGUGAAAGCCCCCCGCUCAACGGGGGAACUGCCUUGGAUACUGGCAAUCUUGAGUGCCGUAGAGGUAGGCGGAAUUCAUGGUGUAGCGGUGAAAUGCAUAGAUACCAUGAGGAACACCCAUAGGGAAGCCAGCUUACUGGACGGUGACUGACGCUGAGGUACGAAAGCGUGGGGAGCGAACAGGAUUAGAUACCCCCGUAGUCC
rnacentral:rRNA from 1 species